rnacentral:rRNA from 1 species
CGGACUGCAGGCUGCAACUCGCCUGCACGAAGUUGGAAUUGCUAGUAAUCGUGGAUCAGCAUGCCACGGUGAAUACGUUCCCGGGUCUUGUACACACCGCCCGUCACACCAUGGGAGCCGGUAAUACCCGAAGUCAGUAGUCUAACCGCAAGGAGGACGCUGCCGAAGGUAGGAUUGGCGACUGGGGUGAAGUCGUAACAAGGUACC